rnacentral:rRNA from 1 species
UAAUUGAAGAGUUUGAUCAUGGCUCAGAUUGAACGCUGGCGGCAGGCCUAACACAUGCAAGUCGAGCGGCAGCACAAGUAAGUUUACUUAUGAGGUGGCGAGCGGCGGACGGGUGAGUAAUGCCUAGGGAUCUGCCCAGUCGAGGGGGAUAACAGUUGGAAACGACUGCUAAUACCGCAUACGCCCUACGGGGGAAAGAGG